rnacentral:rRNA from 1 species
GUAGUAUGUGGAUUAAUUCGAUGCAACGCGAAAACCUUACCUACCCUUGACAUGCUAGGAACUUGCCAGAGAUGGCUUGGUGCCCGAAAGGGAACCUAGACACAGGUGCUGCAUGGCUGUCGUCAGCUCGUGUCGUGAGAUGUUGGGUUAAGUCCCGCAACGAGCGCAACCCUUGUCAUUAAUUGCCAUCAUUCAGUUGGGCACUUUAAUGAGACUGCCGGUGACAAACCGGAGGAAGGUGGGGAUGACGUCAAGUCCUCAUGGCCCUUAUGGGUAGGGCUUCACACGUAAUACAAUGGUCGGUACAGAGGGUUGCCAACCCGCGAGGGGGAGCCAAUCCCAGAAAACCGAUCGUAGUCCGGAUUGUAGUCUGCAACUCGACUGCAUGAAGUCGGAAUCGCUAGUAAUCGCGGAUCAGCAUGUCGCGGUGAAUACGUUCCCGGGCCUU